rnacentral:lncRNA from 1 species
GCCGUGCUCUCGGCUCUUUUCUGAAGUGGUGUAGGAGCUGGCGGUUCUGUGCCUCUGCUGAGAGCCGAGAAAAGUACUCGCGCAAGCUUGGAGGCCAAGCUAUGGAUGCAGUGACCUAUGAUGAUGUGCACAUAAACUUCACUCAGGAAGAAUGGGUCUUGUUGGAUCUUUCUCAAAAGAGGCUCUACAAAGAUGUUAUCCUGGAGACCUACAGGAACCUCACUGCUAUAGGAUACAAAUGGGAAGAAUACAAUAUUGAAGAAUAUUGUCAAAAUUCUAGAAUACAUGGAAGGCAAGAAAGAAGUCAUCCUGAAGAUAAACUCUAUGAAUAUAGACAAUGUGGUAAAGUUUUUGCAUGUCACAGUCAUCUUCAAAGUCAUGAAAGAAUUCGUGCUGGAGAGGAAUCCUGUGAAUGUAAUCAAUGUAAUAAUCACAGUACUCUUCAAAAUCCUGAAAAAAAUCAUACUGAAGAGAGACUAUAUGAAUGUAAUGAAUGUGGUAAAGCUUUUUCACAACAGAGUCAUCUCCAAAUACAUACAAGGACACAUCAUGGACAGAAACUCUAUGAAUGUAAGCAAUGUUGUAAAGCCUUUGCCUGUUGCAGCAGUCUUCAAAAACAUGAAAAAGAUCAUACUAGAGAUACAACCUAUGAGUCUAAGCAAAGUGGUAUAGACUUUUCACAUCAGAGUUAUCUCUAUAAGCAUAAAAGAACAUAUAUUGUACAGAAACACUACAAAUGCACUCAAUGUGAUAAAGUGUUUUCAAAACGUAGUAAUUUCCAAAGACAUAAAAGACUACAUACAGGAGAGAAACCCUAUGAAUGUAACCAAUGUGGUAAAGGCUUUGCACUGCCCAGAUAUCUCAGAAAACAUAGAAGAACACAUAUUGGAGAGAAACCCUAUGAAUGUAAUCAGUGUGGUAAAGCCUUUACACAGAGCAGUGGUCUUCAAAAUCAUGAAAGAAUUCAUACUGGAGAGAAACCCUAUGAAUGUAAUCAAUGUGGUAAAGCCUUUGCACAUCAUAGUUCUCUCCAGAAACAUGAAAAAACUCAUACUGGAGAGAAACCCUAUGAAUGUAAUCAAUGUGGUAAAGCCUUUGAACAACAAAUUUACCUUCAAAUUCAUGAAAGAAUCCAUACUGGAGAGAAACCGUAUGUAUGUAAUCAAUGUGGUAAAGCCUUUGCAUAUCACAGUCAUCUUAAAGUUCAUGGAAGAGCUCAUACUGGAGAGAAACCCUAUGAAUGUAAUCAGUGUGGCAGAGCCUUUGCUUAUAGCAGUAGUCUUCAGAUACAUGAAAUAAUCCAUACUGCAGAGAAACCCUAUGAAUGUAAGCAAUGUGGUAGAGCCUUUGCACAUCAGAGUUAUCUCCAGAAACAUGAAAGAACACAUACUGGAGAGAAACCCUAUAAAUGUAAACAAUGUGGUAAAGCCUUUGUACAACAGAUUCAUCUUCAAGUUCAUGGAAGAAUCCAUACUGGAGAGAAACCCUAUGAAUGUAAUCAGUGUGGUAGAGCCUUUGCAUAUAGCAGUAGUCUUAAAAAACAUGAAAUAGUCCAUACUGGAGAGAAACCCUAUGAAUGUAAUCAAUGUGGUAAAGCCUUUGCAUAUCCCAGAUAUCUUCAGAAACAUGAAAGAACACAUACUGGAGAGAAACCCUAUGAAUGUAAUCAAUGUGGUAAAGCCUUUGCACAUCACAGUUAUCUCCAGAAACAUGAAAGAAUUCAUACUGGAGAGAAACCCUAUGAAUGUAAUCAAUGUGGUAAAGCCUUUGCACAUCACAGUAACUUCCAAAACCAUGAAAGAACACACACUGGAGAGAAACCCUAUGAAUGUAAUCAAUGUGGUAAAGCUUUUUCAAAGCAGACUCUUCUCCAACUACAUAAAAGAACACAUACUGGAGAGAAACCGUAUGUGUGUAAUCAAUGUGGUAAAGCCUUUGCAUAUCACAGUCAUCUUAAAGUUCAUGGAAGAGCUCAUACUGGAGAGAAACCCUAUGAAUGUAAUCAGUGCGGCAGAGCCUUUGCAUAUAACAGUAGUCUUCAAAUACAUGAGAUAGUCCAUACUGCAGAGAAACCCUAUGAAUGUAAGCAAUGUGGUAGAGCCUUUGCACAUCAGAGUUAUCUCCAGAAACAUGAAAGAACACAUACUGGAGAGAAACCCUAUAAAUGUAAUCAGUGUGGUAAAGCCUUUGCACAACAGAUUCAUCUUCAAGUUCAUGGAAGAAUCCAUACUGGAGAGAAACCCUAUGAAUGUAAUCAGUGUGGUAGAGCCUUUGCAUAUAGCAGUAGUCUUAAAAAGCAUGAAAUAGUCCAUACUGGAGAGAAACCCUAUGAAUGUAAUCAGUGUGGUAAAGCCUUUGCACAUCUCAGAUAUCUUCGAAAACAUGAAAGAACACAUACUGAAGAGAAACCCUAUGAAUCUAAUCAGUGUGGUAAAACCUUUGCACAUAACAAUAAUCUUCAGCAUCAUGAAAGAAUUCAUACUGAAGAGAAACCCUAUGAACAUAGUCAAUGUAGAAAACCCUUUUCAUAUCACAGUAGUCUUCAGAUUCAUACUUCAGAGAAACACUAAUGUAGUUAACGUGGUAAAGCCUUUGCAUGUCAUAGUAGUCUUUACAUUCUUGAAAGAAUUCAUAUUGGAGAGAAACACUAUGAUAUAAUCAAUGUGGUAAAGCAUUGCAUAUCACAAUUAUCUGCAAAUAUACAAAAGAACACACUGAAGGAAAAUGAUACAAAUGUAAUCAAUGUAGUAUAAAGCCUUUCAACAUCACAGUUAUCUUCAAAUACAAAGGAACACAUACUGGAGAGUAACGUUAUGAAUGUACUCAGCCUGUUAAAGCCUUUGCAUAUCACAGUUGUCUUUGAGGACAUGAAAGUACUCAGGAAAUGAACCUAUGAAUAUAAAGUGUUUUUUUUCCCAUAGGUUUACUGUUUAUUCAGGGUUAAAUGUUACAGAGUUCAUACACUGUCGGAACCAUGCCUGAGAACCCAAAGAAAGAAAUGGUGCAAUGGACAGCCUCAUCCACCCAGUGUAUUAAAACUUGAUUCAUAUGCAUUUUGAUAAUUUCACAAUCUUGAAAACUAUAACAAGACUUGGGAUUUACAUCUGCUGCAGGUCUUCAGCAUUCAGUACAGUAUGCUAUUAAAAUAACCUCAUCAUGUCUCCGUUCACUUCCUAAAAUUUGUGUGUGUAUGUGUGUCUAGCUGGAGUAGACUAUAAAGUAUUUGGUAAGAUCUUUAGGCUACACACUUAAAUUCAAAUUACACAAGAGUUAUUGCAGAUUUUAAAAAAAAUCUGAUGCUCUCUUGCUCUGUUCCCUUGCUCCUGCUCCCCCUCUCUUCCCUAUUCCCUCCCCCCUCUCCACAUGCUCAUGGGCAGCUCUCUCUCUCUCUCUCUCUGCCUUUCUCUGUCUCUAUUCCUUUAACUCCCCAAGCCCUGAAAAAACUCUAUUCUAUACUGUUAAAAAAAAAAUCCUACAAUUGUCAACAAUCUCUUCAAGCCUUUGGCUUCUUCAUGCUACAUGCCAAAGAAAGAAACUGAAUAUAGAGUCAACAAGAAAUACUAGCAUUUCUGAAGGGAAGAAUUGUUGACAGGGAGAAAUGUCAUGUCUUGGCAGCAUCCCUUUUCCACUUCAAAGAAUAUGAUUAGCAUUGAAAAACCUUCAUAUGGCAUUUGCUCCUGUGUGGCAAGCUGCUCCUGGGGUAAAAACUCUCCUUGCUUCAACUGCUGACAGUAUACUGUCCAAACUGGACAAAUAGGAUACAGAGAAGUCAAGUGCUAAACUUUACCAAAACAAGUAGGCAGUGCUUUAGUAUUGCUGCCUCAUGGAAAAGUCUAUCAGAUAUUUGGGGCAGAAGGCUGAAGAUAAUGUCUCAAAGUUGCAGAGGAACCUUGGAUGACUGUCCGGGUCAACCUCUCUCUAGCAUUUCUAUAAUUUUGGAAGCUGCUUGCUCUGCACUUCCUGUAUCCUCAGGGAAUGUUCAUUCCUUCUCAGGUCUCUUAUGGGGUUGAAGACUAGAUAGUUAUAGUCUCAUAACUCAGCUUAAGUUGUUUAAGGUUUAAAAAAUAUUUUAAGGUCUAAAGGUAAAAGUUGGCAAAUGCAAGUUUUGAUUGAAAGCGAAAUAGGCACAGAAGAUUGGAUUCACCGAGAUAAUUGAUAGUAGAUAGAAAGUAGAGUACUUUCUCCAAGGUUGCCAAAUACAUAUUGACUGUAUCUUGUGAAUACAAUUCUCACUUGAUGGUUUUCAUAAUUGUUCUUAUUGUAUAUAGCUUAUUGAUGGUAGAGAAAGACCCUUUAUUGGACUAAAAGGGGGAGAUGUAGGGAUAAUCUUUAUUUGUCCUGCAUAGAGAUGUGUCUCUGUCCUUCCUUGUAUGCCCAAGGCACUUUCUGCUUGGUUACAAUAAACAGCAUAUAGCAAGGGGUAGAAUAGAAGGGAGAGAACAAUUCUGGGAUAGAGUUGGGCACAGGUACAUCCACCAAGAAACAGGGGAACCUGGAGGUAUGAUGCUGAGGAGAAGUAAUCAGCCAUGUGGCAAAACUUAGAUCACUGCAAAUGAGAUUAUAUAUUUUGAGCUAGUGGGAACAAGCCUAGCUUAAGGCCUAAGCAUUUAUUAAUAAGUAAUAAGCCUCUAAGUUGUUCAGGAAUUGUUCCCAGGUAGAAGGGCCAAAGGUUUCCUCAUCACCCAGUAACAUUUCCUCCGGCAGGGUAGCAUUUACUCAAUAUCCAAUUGGUGGUAUCCAAAUGAUACCACCGAUUGAAAAGGGUUGAUACUUUGAAGCCUACAUGCUUCCUUUUGUUAGGUGAACUAAUUUAUGAGGAAGGAAAAUCCCUGUAAUUAAGCCUUUGGGUGCUUCAAUAUCUGGGUUACAGAAAUGAAGCCUUAAGUCAGUAAAACAAUCAAGAGUAAAAAUUAUGUUUGUUCAAAGAUUUGUUAUUACAGAGCUAUAGGAAUAAAGACAGCAUGAUACUGGCAUAAAAACUGAUGUGUUGAUCAAUGGAAUUUAAUUGAAAAUCCAGGAUAAAUGCACCAUACUUAAGGACAUUGACAAAGAAGCCUUGCUAUAUGCAAGCACAAAUGCAGAUGGAACCAAAGUAAUACAUUGCUAAGUUUUAGAGAUGAUGUUGCACUCAAAUCUAUUGCAUCUGGAGGCUAUGGAUGACGCUCUGAUGAGAUUUAAUGUGCUGGCUCAUCAUCAUACUCCACAAGGUAUCUUCUACAUUCCUUUUUCUUUAAGAUACCUUGGACUCCUUUGGUCCAGUUCACUGUCCACUCCCAUGAUGCCCCAGCAGACUCUCCAAAUCUAUACUUUUGCUUUCAUCUUCUAGUUGAUGUGACAUGAACGUGUAUGCAAAAAGAGCAUUCUAAGGUCAUUUCUUUCUCCAUUAUGUUUGUGGUUUCUGUAUCCUAUAUCCUUUGGCAUAUAGGUACUUAUCAAAGGAUAUAUAUGGUAAAUUAUGCCUUUUCUAACCCAGAAAGCCUGACUUAUAGAAAGCUUUGUAAUAUUUACUAUUGUUAACUGUUCUAAGCAGAAAGCAUGUUUUAUUUAAAUAAUGCCUUUAUGUAGCUGACAAUUUCACUCUUAUUGUC